ACCUUCUCUUUUCUCCGCACUCACCACUUUCCACAGAAACCAACUUGCACUCAAAUCGUCGCUUGCCGCAUCGAAACGUGAUGGCGAUGUUGUCGCUGCGACGAUACCGCCGAUGCUGUCGUGUGAAGUGACGGUGAAAUUCUCAGCCAAGUAGUGUCUUCUCAGGUUAAUUGAGAAAGAUUUGCAGUUUCCAUUCAUGGCCCAACUUAUUUCAGGUAUCAUUCCUA